rnacentral:pre_miRNA from 1 species
AAAACACUCCCUCCAUCUCAAAUUAGUUGUCUUAGAUUUGUCUAGGUGCACAUGUAUCUAGACACGUUUUAGUGUUAGGUACAUCUGCAUCUAAACAAAUCAAAUUCAACUAAUUUAGGAUGGAGGUAAUAUCAC